AGUGGAGAGACCCGGCUAGAGGAGGGGAAUAGACGAGAGGGCCGGGCCGAGGCUGCCGGGGUGACGGGGCUGAGCUAAGGGUACUGGACUAGCAUACGUCCUCCCCAGGACGGGUAGGGGCAGGCGAGGUGGGUCCCAGUUAAGCCUAGGUAAAUCCGCCCUCAACCCCGCCCCUCCCCCGCAGGCUUCCUUCGGGUCCUCUUUCUGCCGGCCCCACCGCCCCUCACCUGCGUGCGAGGGGCGACCUCGAGGCGGUAGGGGGCGCCGCCACCUCGGGCCAGCACCACCUGCGGGGCCAGGACCUCCUUCUCCGCCUGUAACCGGUGCCCGGCGGCCGCGGUCCGGGCCUUGUCCAGCAGCACGAGGUGGCGCCCUCGCACCCAAAGCCCCGACCCCUCCUCCAGCAACGGCUCCCCUACGCCGCGUGCAUCGUCUCUCAGCAGCCUUCUGUGCACCUGCGGGGAGAGUGGCCAGGAGAGGGAUCUCCCGGCCAUUGCUGUCAGUGUAGAAGAGUCCGUCUGUCUCCAGCACAGUGUCAAAGCGACUGAUGACCUCCUUCCCCCAGCCAUCACUAUACCCAAUGGGAUGGCAAGCUCCAGGUGCCGCUGUCCCGGGUACAGACGAACCACCUGGGAACACCAGGCUGAGAAGUUCUGGUGCACUUCCUGCACCAAGGCUGUCUGCAAGCACAUGGGGGUGAAGGGCAGGUGUAAGCGUGCAGCUGAGCAGAGGGGACAUGGGUUCGAGCCCUGGUCCAGGAAGAUCCCACAUGCCACAGAGCAACUAAGCCCGUGUGCCACAACUACUGAGCCUGUGUUCUAGAGCCUGCAAGCCACAACUACUGAGCCCGAGUGCCACAACUACUGAAGCCCGUGCGCCUAGAGUCCAUGCUCCACAACAAGAGAAGCCGCCACAAUGAGAAGCCUGUGCGCCGUAAUGAAGAGUAGCCCCCGCUCUCCGCAACUAGAGAAAAAGCCCGCACGCAGCAAUGAAGACCCAAAGCAGCCAAAAAUUUUUAAAAAUUAAAAAAUAAAAAAUGA